UUUUUAUGAUUGCAUGUUCGUUGUUUUCUGAAUUGAACUUGGUGAAGAUCAAAAAGGCGUCCGCGGCUCCGAGAGAGUGUGUGUCUACCGUGGUCUGCUACCAAAGCUGUCAUGCGGCUAGCACAGUGAAUGGUACUAUCCGGUUUCACACGGUUCAAUAACGGCUCCUGGCUCUUAGUUGCAUGUAACCACGCCGCACAAGAGAUGCUUCCUCCAGAUACACGCACUUUCCCACACUGCACGAGACCAAGCAAAAAAUUCAAGAUCUUUCAGUAACCAAAACAUAGCUUGACAUAGCAGCUUACAUUAAAAUUUGCCCAAAAAAUCGUUAGUCCUGCAAGUAAGAAUGGUUUGACCUACUUCUACUAGAGCAAGCUACUAUGCAAACACAUCAUUACCCAAGGACAAUAACAUCAUCAUACUAGCUUAAACCAUGGUUUCUGAACUGGAUAUUCAUCACGGUGAUAAGGCGAUUACCACAACUAUUCCGCUCACCGUCAAAAUUUUAUAGUUCUGACAAGAGCACCGUAUCUUUCUGACGAAAAGAACAUGGCGGACGAAGAAAUAUCCGAUUCAUAAUCCGUAAAAAAGAUGUCCAGCUACGAUGGUAUAAGCAAAUGCUGGUGUAAAACUAGCCGAAGGAAAUAAUAAAUAUAGUUAUGUAUAGAGUGUACAGUGUGAUGUUGCAUUGGUUACAUUUACUGAAAUAUGAAUUUUGUGUUUGUGGCAAAACCAAAGAUAUAUACCAAAGAUGCUCCCGACUACUUAUAUCAAAAACAAAGGGGUUACAAUUAAAAACCCCCAACUUUUUUUAGACUGUCUAUAGAAGCUUGUGAGUGCAUGUCUCCAUAGAUAAGACAUUGCAGCGCGGUCCGUUUUAACGAGAUGUGAAGGGUUCGAAUCAUAUAGUUAUUUCCGUCAUGUAUUAAAAAAACAAUUGAAAACCAAAUAUUUUCAAAGUACAUUUUAAUAUUGCUUUGAAACCGUUUGUACACUUGUUUACCAUCGUGAUUCAAAUUAUGAAGCCUUUAUUU